AGAGUUUGAUCCUGGCUCAGGAUGAACGCUAGCGACAGGCUUAACACAUGCAAGUCGAGGGGCAGCGAGGGAGUGGCAACACUUCUGUCGGCGACCGGCGCACGGGUGAGUAACGCGUAUGCAACCUGCCCUUCACAGGGGGAUAACCGGGAGAAAUUCCGACUAAUACCGCAUACGUCCCCCGGGGGCAUCCCCGGAGGAUGAAAGAGUUAUCGGUGAAGGAUGGGCAUGCGUGAUAUUAGGUAGUUGGCGGGGCAACGGCCCACCAAGCCUACGAUAUCUAGGGGUUCUGAGAGGAAGGUCCCCCACAUUGGUACUGAGACACGGACCAAACUCCUACGGGAGGCAGCAGUGAGGAAUAUUGGUCAAUGGACGAGAGUCUGAACCAGCCAAGUCGCGUGAAGGAAGACGGAUCUAUGGUUUGUAAACUUCUUUAGUGCGGGAACAAAGCGGCGUCGUGACGCCGGAUGAGUGUACCGCAAGAAUAAGCAUCGGCUAACUCCGUGCCAGCAGCCGCGGUAAUACGGAGGAUGCGAGCGUUAUCCGGAUUUAUUGGGUUUAAAGGGAGCGCAGGCUGCGAGGCAAGUCAGCGGUCAAAUGUCGGGGCUCAACCCCGGCCUGCCGUUGAAACUGUCCUGCUAGAGUUCGAGUGAGGUAUGCGGAAUGCGUUGUGUAGCGGUGAAAUGCAUAGAUAUGACGCAGAACUCCGAUUGCGAAGGCAGCAUACCAACUCGCGACUGACGCUGAGGCUCGAAAGCGUGGGUAUCGAACAGGAUUAGAUACCCUGGUAGUCCACGCAGUAAACGAUGAAUACUAACUGUUCGGAGGGCGACCUCUGAGUGGUAAAGCGAAAGCGUUAAGUAUUCCACCUGGGGAGUACGCCGGCAACGGUGAAACUCAAAGGAAUUGACGGGGGCCCGCACAAGCGGAGGAACAUGUG
rnacentral:rRNA from 1 species